rnacentral:rRNA from 1 species
AGCCUGGCCACUGAUUUGUUUUAAAGGGCCGCGGUAUAUUGACCGUGCGAAGGUAGCAUAAUCAUUAGUCUUUUAAUUGAAGGCUUGUAUGAAUGGUUGGACAAAAAGUAAGCUGUCUCAGUUAUAAUAAUUGAAUUUAACUUUUAAGUGAAAAGGCUUAAAUGGAUUAAGGGGACGAUAAGACCCUAUAAAGCUUGACAAUAAGUUAGUUAUAUUAUAAAUUGUUAGUAUAACUUGAUUUUAAUUGACGUUUGUUACGUUGGGGCGACGAGAAUAUAAUGAGUAACUGUUCUUAAAUGUUUAUUGACAAAUAUAAUUGGUAUUUGAUUGAUCCUUUAUUAAAGAUUAAAAGAUUAAGUUACUUUAGGGAUAACAGCGUAAUCUUCUUUGAGAGUUCAUAUCGACAAGAAGGUUUGCGACCUCGAUGUUGAAUUAAGGUAUCCUUAUGAUGCAGCAGUUAUAAAGG